AUACGGAGGGUGCAAGCGUUACUCGGAAUCACUGGGCGUAAAGCGCGCGCAGGCGGCUAUUUAAGUUGGAUGUGAAAGCCUACGGCUCAACCGUAGAACUGCAUCCAAAACUAUUUAGCUAGAGUGUGGGAGAGGAAGAUGGAAUUAGUUGUGUAGGGGUAAAAUCCGUAGAGAUAACUAGGAAUACCAAAAGCGAAGGCAAUCUUCUGGAACACUACUGACACUGAGGCGCGAAAGCGUGGGGAGCAAACAGGAUUAGAAACCCUAGUAGUCC
rnacentral:rRNA from 1 species